rnacentral:lncRNA from 1 species
UGAGGGACUAUUGAUGCUUUUGGUAUCAGCAGCCACAGAAUUCAUCAGACACAGCACAAAAGAGCAGGAGAAGAGAUAAUGGCAGAUGCCAGAAGGUUGUCCAGCUGGUUACUACCUCUCCUCUUCACCUGAUUAUACCUGAUUACUGCUGACUCGAUGGGCAGGGAGAGUCGCUGACUCCUGACAGAAAGACUCUGUCACCCCUUGCCAUUUAUUUUAGAUCCUGUGAAUCCUACUGUCAAUGUUGUGACACCUGCAAUGCCUGGGAUGAAGCUGCCCAUGUGGUGAGAUGCAGCCUGUGGAAGCCUCUUUUCAGUGGAGUGAGAGCCAAGCCCCCUUGGCUUUUCAUAGACAAUUGGUGAACGGGACAAGGAGACACUGUCCUUGGAUGUCUGAAAAAAAAAGAAAAAGGUUGCAAAACAUGUUGCCAAUAAGAAUGUUGUAGAUGAAAGGCAGGAUGAAGGAAAGUGGUCUUAAUUUAAAUUCUCUAUUUUACUAAACCUACUCUUUAACAAAUAUGUUUAUGUGAGGCAUCAGAAGCAAAUGUAUUUUGGCUUUUAAGAGAAUUAAAAUUGUUUCCCCUAUUUUUUUAUUUGUUUGCUUUGGUGGCUUUGUGACCAAAAAAAUUGUUUUAAUCCAAAUAGCCACAAUAAAUAAAUAAGCAAAUGAAUAAAAUUCCCAGGUCAUUUGAGAGAAAAGAUUAACUGAAAAGGUAAAGCAUCUCCCCCUUUUUAGUUUCAGUUAAUUAUAGUGUCAGGAUGACUUUUUAACUUACCUGGCAAUCUGGAACCUCAUAGAGUCACUUGCGUUUUCAAAAUUUCCAUGUGAAAACAUGAUUGUGCCAAGUACUCCCUAUUAACUUUUAGACAUCAUCUAUAAAAUCACUACAGGAAAAUAUGGAAAUAUCUGAGAGAUACACAGUGGAUCGCCUCAGAAUAAAUCGUUCCCCAAAUCAUUUUAUGACUGCCUGAGUCGGGACUCAUGGGUCAGAGUAGAGUCAUAGUUAAGGUUUGCAACUGGCUUAGUAGCAAGAGGGGAUAAACAAACUAUCCAGGCUGUUGAACUGUCCAGUUUCGCUACAACUGUAUUUACUUGUUGGGAUCAACUGUUUUCUUUCCUAUUAAGGUAUUAGUAGCCACUGAUAAUGGAAGCCAGGGCCCGCUAGAAAUAGACCAGAGGAAAUUUCCUGACUCACUUGCAUAACAACAGUUCAUCAGCACUGAAGAUAUAUGAAGUGUGACUGCAGAGUAAUGGGAGUGAUUAGGUUUCUCUGCACAACAAAACUCUUACAUACAAAUGAGCACUGUCCCCUUCAGGACAGUCCUCAGGGAACCCGUAUGCUUAUUCCGGUGUGUGAUUGGUCUGGAAGCAUUUUUGGAUGCCCUCUGGACAGAAAGUGCUUUUGGACACUGUUAGUGGUGACAAAGUGUGUCCUUUGAGGAUGGAUUAGAUUGUUGGAAAUGAUACAAUGUAUUCACAGUAUACAUCUGUUGUUUUUGUCUACCCAGAAGCCUCUGUCCAAACUUGUGGUUGGAGAGGCUGUAUUUCUUCUGUCGUUCAUUCUGUCUUUGAAGGCUCUCGAGGAGAAAAUAGCUUUUAAUAUCUCUUGGGAAAUGGCCACAUUUUCCCCUGGCAAUUGAACCCAUGGCUUUCUUGAAUGACUACUCCUCAACCAGGUCUAAGUUGUUUAGGUAGGCUGACUUGACCACCAGUUCCAGAGCACAGACAUGUGACGAGCCUGGCCAUAGUCAUUGAUUCAGGGAUGGACACAUGACUGAAACGGCAUGCUGGCAUUUAGUUCUGGUACUUGGAUUUUAACUGUUGGGAGGAGAAUUUCUCACUCUGCUAUGAUAUAAGCAUGAAGCUACUGGCUUCCACUUGCUGCUACAAAGAGCCUGCUUAAAAAUGGAGCCAACAUAAAAGGAAGCAGAUUUAAGACCUGAGCGAUGAGAGCGUGCACAUGUGUGUAUAUCCACAUAAUGAGACUAAGUCUUGAUUUCUGCACCUUGAUCCAGAUAUACCUGGAGCAGAAACUCUGCUGGGACUCUUUUGUAUCAUGAGCCAGUAACCUCCCUAUUUGCCUAGUAGGUUGAUUUGGGCUUCAAUCUUGCAACCAAGUGAGUCCUGACUAAACCAGCAGAAUGGAGCCAGGUAAGGUUCUUUCUCAAGAAGAGAAGAAGGAAGGUAUCAAGACGUUUAUGACAAAUUUCUACUCAACACUGAGCACCUGCUAAGUGCUGGGCCUAAUAGUCGAGAUGCUGCAAUGAACUAGUCCAUUCAGGAUGCUGAGGUGUUUCAGCCUAGAAGAGACUGCUUUUCUUCCUUUGCUCAUGCAGACUCAGGGGGCCAUUCUCAAGGAGGAGUUAGUGACAGGAAUGUCUUUGGCAAAGACAGCACUCUUGAGUGUGGUCAGAACAUGUUAUUUAUUUCCCAAGAUGAUUAGUUUUUGAAGAAGACAACAAAUAGUUGAGGCUAUGAAUUCUAUCUCUGUAAAAAUAGAGUUAUGUUUUCCUCCUGUAGUCAGAUCUCCUGUGGAACGUGAGUAAACAGGAAUUUCUAUGUAUGGAGCAAGGACAGUAUGGUUAGCACAUAAUACAUGUGUUUAUUUCAGAGCUGGGGAGGACUCCUGACCAGCGUGACACCUAACAUUGGAGUGAAGGGGCAGCAGAUGUGACUUGUUCCUCCUUGCCUUCCACCGUGAUUGUGAGACCUCUCCAGCCACGUGAAACGGAAUGGGAAAUACUCUUCUCCUACCACCAACUUGGCCACUCUCCAGUGACGAGGUUUCAGAAGCAGUGCAUUUUCAAGUUUCUGCCUCAGAAGAGAUCCAGUUUGGCAUUCUGUCUAAGUUCACUGCACAGAGACGGGUUUGGCUCUGUGAUUCAUCAGAAAUAAGAAAAACAAACACUGUAAAUGGAGAACUUGAAAAAGAGGUGGGCACCAUCUCCCCACCCAAGAGAAUGGAUUUAAGAGGAAAUUUGUUUAUGGGAUGAAGUUUUAAAAGGCGACCUGGAAAAUUUAGCAAAGAUGUAAAUAAACAACUCUUCCUUGGAUUGCAUUAGGCUUCAGAAUAAAUAUAUUAACCAGCUUCAGUCAAAGUCUGCCUAGAAUCUGACCCUGACAAGACCCAGUGACUAGUGCUGCUCCGAACCUUCCCCACCAACAGCAGGCAAUUUUCUCUGUGGCAAAGCUACCUCGAAACAGGCAUCCAGGCUUCCCUCCCACGAAGUGAAGAUGAGAAAACUGAGUCUCAGAAUGGACAAGCUCACAGAUGGCAAGUGGUAGAGCAGACUUCACACAUAGGUCAGCAUUGAGGCUUUCCCAGUUAACUGAUGAAGACAUCCAGCAACAUGGAACACCUUGGUUAUUUAACCCUUGACCCUCUCCAGCAGAAAUUCCUGAUUAGCUUCAGCCUGGACAGUCUCAUCACACCUCCCUGAACACAUGUUGCUUAUUUGUUAUCUGUACCUUGGUUCAAGUUCUCCCUCCUAUUUUGAGUGUUGUGUCCUUUCCCUCCCUUCCUUCUAUCCAGCUUACUCCCACACUUCAGGGGAAAUGACACCUCCUCCAUUGUGUCUUACUCACUGGCUCCUACCCACAUGUACCUCCUUUUCUGAACUCUUAUUCCAUGAGUGGCCCUAUGUCUUAGCACUUAAUCUCCUAUAAACCAUGCUAAUAAAAUGGA